UUCUCGGAUGGUCCAGUUCUAUAGCUACACUACCCUGUUCGUUUCGUCCUCCCUCAGCUCCACCCCUUUGCCUGGGCCGCAUAAGCCUCCAUCGUUCCCCGCCCUCCGCCGCCUCCAGUCAGCAGUCCCCCGCCUCCGACCAAGGCGCUCUCGCCGGCCGCCAUCACCAGGCGAAGGGGCUCUCUUCUCCUCUACCAACUGGCGCGGCGCGAGGAACUAACCGUCAAGGCGUAUUUCCUAUUGGUGGUAAAUAAGGGAGCCCUAGCUUUCCCAGGUUGCAGUAUUGGGUGACAGCUUCCUGUAUCAUCCGGUUGCUUCCCCGCGUGACAGCUACACUCCAUUCUGCUCCGCUAUCGGUCAGCUCCAUUGAGAAUCUAGAUGUGCUUGUCUUCGCGAAUGUUCGAUGGGAAGACACGCUCCUUCUCCAUUACCAGAAAGGCUUUCCCUGAAAGUAAAUACGUCGUCCCUGUCCCAAUCUCCCGCCUAGCCCACCGUCAUCUCCCCCUUCUCCUAUCCUAUGCAACCGUCUCGGGUCUUUUGCUCAAGGUACCCUUGCUCCACUCUGUCCUUCGCUCACUCUCCUCAGGUUCUGUCCCAUCUCUCUCCCUCUCAUUCCUCUCCCUACUCCGCCGGUCUGGCUACAUGCCCAUCGAUAACUACUCCCUUAGCGCUGCUCUUUCUACCGCCGCCCGCAUGCCCUCCGUUGUUGUUGGUGCCCAGCUCCAUACCCUUUCUGUGAAACUCGGCUUAAGUUCUGAUACCUUUGUCCUUAAUACUCUUAUCAAUAUGUACUCGUCUUGUAGUUAUCCAUCUACUGCAAGAUCAGUUCUUGAUUCUGCUCCCAAAGGAGCCUCUGAUACAGUUUCUUGGAAUACAAUCAUUGCUGGAUACGUACAUGCUGGGCUGCCUAAUAAGGCAUUGCUGGCUUUUAGCCAAAUGGCCAAGGCGCAAGUUAUGCUGGAUGAGGUCACCUUGCUGAAUGCUCUAGUUGCUUGUGCAAGGACAUGCAUGAUGAAGGUCGGAAAGCUCUGUCAUGCACUGCUUGUGACAAAUGGUUUUGAGAUUAACUGUUAUAUGGGUUCCUCUUUGAUUAGUAUGUAUGCAAAGUGUGGGCUGGUUGAAGAUGCUCGCAGGGUUUUUGAUGGAUUGCCUGAGAGGAAUGCGGUUUGCUGGACCUCAAUGAUUUCUGGAUAUACACAGUUAGGUCAGUCUAAAGAGGCUGUUAAGCUAUUCAGAGACAUGCAAAUUGCUGGAGUGAAAGUUGAUGAUGCAACAAUUGCUACUGUUGUAUCUUCAUGCGGCCAGAUGGGAGCACUGGACUUGGGACGGUAUGUCCAUGCUUACUGUGACAUUCAUGGUUUAGGCAAGGAUAUUUCUGUGAAAAAUUCAUUGAUUGACAUGUACUCAAAGUGUGGGGAUAUAAAAAAGGCCUAUGAUAUAUUUUGUGGAAUGGUCAAGCGGGAUGAUUUUUCCUGGACAGUGAUGAUAAUGGGCUUUGCUGCGAAUGGCCUCUCUGGUGAGGCACUAGAUUUGUUUGCGCAGAUGGAAGAAGAGGGUGAAGUCAUGCCGAAUGAGAUAACUUUCUUGGGUGUCCUAACUUCUUGCAGCCAUGGAGGAUUAGUUGAACAAGGAUACCAUCACUUCCAUCGCAUGUCCAGUAUUUACGGUAUUGCCCCAAGGAUCGAACACUAUGGAUGCAUGGUUGAUCUCCUGGGGCGUGCUAAGUUAUUGGCAGAGGCAGAACAGUUCAUUAAAGAGAUGCCUAUCGCUCCUGAUGUUGUAAUGUGGCGGUCGUUGUUGUUUGCCUGCAGAGCCUGUGGAGAGGUGGGACUUGCAGAGUAUGUAGCAGAAAGGAUCCAAGUAUUGGAGCCAAACAGGUGUGGAGGGGACGUUUUACUUUCUACUGUCUAUGCUACCACAUCAAGGUGGGUUGAUGCAAACAAAGUGAGGACAGGAAUAUACAGUAGCAGAAAGACCAAGCAGCCUGGUUGCUCUUUCAUUGAAGUGGAUGGAUGCGUGCAUGAGUUCUUUGCAGGGGACGAGUCACAUUUUGAAACUGAGGCUAUAUACAACACUCUUUUAGGGAUUAAUGAACUAUUAGUAGCAGAGUCCUUCCUGAUGUGAAAGCUAAUACAUUUCUAUGCAGGGUAUCAUGUGCCUGCUCACCUGUAUCACUGUGUUGGUCAUGGGAAUGUAAAACCAGCAACCUGAAAGUUCCAAACUCCAGAAUUUAGUUAUUUACUUGAACUGGGCCAUGGAUCGGAAGAAUCAAACUCCACAGGGUCAAAUUGCACAAGUGAUUGUUGAAUUUCUAGAGGUUGCUGUCAGCUCCAUUGUCUUCCUCAAAGGUUUCUAUCCCACUC